GCUGGGCGUGGUGCAGCAUGCCUGUAAUCCCAGUGACUUGGGAGGCUGAGUCUGAAGGAUCUCAAGUUCAAAGCCAACUUUAGCAACUUAGUGAGGCCCUGAACAACUUAGCACGAUCCUGUCUCAA
rnacentral:sRNA from 1 species